rnacentral:rRNA from 1 species
UACGGAGGGGGCUAGCGUUGUUCGGAAUUACUGGGCGUAAAGCGCGCGUAGGCGGCCCGGUAAGUCCGCUGUGGAAGUCCAGGGCUCAACCCUGGAAAGCCGGUGGAUACUGCCGGGCUAGAGUCCGGAAGAGGCGAGUGGAAUUCCUGGUGUAGCGGUGGAAUGCGCAGAUAUCAGGAGGAACACCGGUGGCGAAGGCGGGUCUCUGGGCCGAUACUGACGCUGAGGAGCGAAAGCGUGGGGAGCGAACAGG